rnacentral:lncRNA from 1 species
CAAAAUUUAUUUUUCAAAAAAAAUAAUUUUCUCUUUCUGCUACUCGAGAUUUUUGUUUAUGAAGUAAAUUAUCAGUCACUUGGUCAUUUUACGAAUUGACCUUAAUAUGUAAUGGGAGCGCGAUAAAAUUAAAACGCGCUAAAAAAAUUGAAAUCGAAAUUUUCUAAUAAAAAAUAUCUCAGUUAGCACAAAUAACAUUAAGUUUACGUCAAGUUAAUAGUAUAACUUUACGUAAACCCAGUGACAGAAUUGGACUUCAAGUUAACAGUAAAAGUUCAUAUUUAUAAGAGUUGACGUAAACUUUUCGUCAACUUGGCCUAAUAGCCACCUUAACCGUAAGUUUCCUAUAAAUUGAUGCCUAACUUAUUUACAAUCUACGGCCAGAAAAAUUAAGUUAUAAACUACAACAAAUAAAACUUAAUUAUUUUUGUUAAUAACAGUUAUUUUUAGUUUAAAAUUAGUUAUUAUAAAUUAUUAAUAAUAAAAAAAUAACAUUAAUGUAAUUGUUUUUUUUUUCCUUGCUGAGUUGCGCUCAGUUGGCCUUUGGGGAGUCCCGUACAGCCAAUGUUUGUGGUGUGGUUAGUGUAUGUGUAGUAGGCGAGCGUGUCCCGCGAAUAUUUUAAAUUAUGUGUUGUCGUUAUCAUCGUCGUCGUCGUCUAUUAUUAUGUGAGUCAGGUUGAUUAUUUUUCUGAUAUCUAUGGCAAAUUAAGUGAUGCAGUUGAGGAUUUCUACGUUUUCUGUGAAGACUAGGUUUCGGAUGUCGUAGGGUGUCUAUAUUUUUUGCUUUUUUACUACUUGGCAUAGUUUUUCCGAUUCUGUUUUUGUUAAGUUUCAAUUGAAAAAAAUAUGGUUUAAGUCUUGUGUUUCGUGACCGCAGUCGCAUGUAGGGUCGUUUUUAAUUUUUAUGCUAUGUAGGUACUCGUUGGUACAUAUGUAUCUAGAUCUCAUUCUAUUUAUUAAUGUUAUUGUAAUUGUUUUAAGAUUUUUGUUUUUAAACUAUGUUUUUUUGUUAUUGUUUAGUUGUGAAUUUUUGAAUUUUUGGUAUAUUGAUUCCGAUUUUUUAAAGUUUUCGUGUCUGAUAGAUUCAUCUUCUGUUUUGUGUUUUUUUUUUAUACCAUUCGGUUGUACAUUACGUAGUUAGGUUUUAACUCCAGUAGUUCGUCAGUUAUUUGGCGCGCUCAGUCUUGCGCGUUCUAUUGACCACUUAACACGUGUUUUAUUUUUUUUAUUAGUUAAUUAUCCACGGAAAUUAUUAUACUUCUGUUGUAUUGUAUAAUAAAGUUAAUUAUCUUCGACAACAAAUUAAAUCACAAAGAUGGCGGAAGAAUUAAGGGAAUUCCCUUAAGGAUUAAUCAUCGGACUGGGAAACCCUCUCCUGGACAUCUCAGCUGUUGUCGAUGAAGAUUUUCUUAAGAAGUACAAUCUAAAAUCAAAUGAUACAAUUCUCGCUGGCGGAGCAGUUCAGAAUACAACGAGAGUCGCUCAAGUAAUAAAGUAAUUAAGGUAGUUUUUGCAUGAUAGGCAUUUCAACAGAAAAUUAUGAAAUUUUUUUUAUUGAAAGAUAAAUAUAUUAAUA